rnacentral:miRNA from 1 species
CCCGGAGUUCCGCCUGAAGACC